CCUGAUAGCUUAGUUGGUAAAGAAUCUGCCUGCAAUGAAGGAGACCCGGGUUCAAUUCCUGGGUCAGGA
rnacentral:tRNA from 1 species